rnacentral:rRNA from 1 species
GACGAACGCUGGCGGCGUGCUUAACACAUGCAAGUCGAACGGUAAGGCCCUUCGGGGUACACGAGUGGCGAACGGGUGAGUAACACGUGGGUGAUCUGCCCUGCACUUCGGGAUAAGCCUGGGAAACUGGGUCUAAUACCGGAUAGGACUCCGGACUGCAUGGUCUGGGGUGGAAAGCUUUUGCGGUGUGGGAUGGGCCCGCGGUCUAUCAGCUUGUUGGUGGGGUGAUGGCCUACCAAGGCGACGACGGGUAGCCGGCCUGAGAGGGUGAUCGGCCACGCUGGAGCGGGGGCGCGGCCCAGACUCCUCCGUGAGGCAGCAGUGGGGAAUAGUGCACACUGGGCGCAAGCCUGAUGCAGCGACGCCGCGUGAGGGAUGAAGGUCUUCGGAUUGUAAACCUCUUCCAGUAGGGACGAAGCGAAAGUGACGGUACCUAAAGAAGAAGCACCGGCUAACUACGUGCCAGCCGCCGCAGUAA